CAAGAUGUGCUGUUUUGAGGGAAUUCUGGCUGCAGCUCUGCUUCAGGUGUGCACAAACCUGAAAUGAGUGCUGUAAUGAGGUAAAGGCUGACACAACAAAUCCCAGAACUCAGAGUUUUAAUAUCUUCUAAAUGAAAUAGAGAGGCAAUAGUGGGUUAUCACAGAGUUCUGUUUUUGAGGACAGCAGGACCUUUCUGCAGCACCAGCAGGUCUGGCAGCAGGAAGGGCCCUGCAGAUGUUGCAGUUGGCCAUGGAGAUGGCGGUGCAGGGCGGCUGUGUCACACUGCAGUAGAAAAGGCUCAAACCGAACCCGCUGACCCCUCCUCUCUCAGAGAUCUGUGUGCAUUGCAUCCCUGGUUCAGAUCUCUGUGAGGCCUGCCUUUAUCUGAAAUAUUUCUUCACUUUCAAGAGUGAGGCAUUUCAACAAAGCCCUGCUUCUUCAGUUCCCUCUCCUGUUCUUCCCUCUCUAUUCAGAGCCGGUGACAGCAGAGAUGUUUCCACGACAACAAUACGUUCUGUUGCCUCAGGUGACAAACCAUAACUUCAAUAAGUAAUCACUGAGAAUAGCUUCAAACAAUUAAUUAGGUAAUGGAAAUGUUAUUCUAAUAGGGCUUGGAUGCUCUGAAAGUCUGCUUGAACAGAUGGAAUUCUGAUCAAGAAUCUGUGUGGAAUCAAAGCUCAAACUGCCAGCCCGAGGUCAGGGUGGGUAUCACUGGCUGAAUUAUCUAAUAAUAAUCCAAAUUCAAGUACUUAGUCAAAAUCCAGAUUAUUUCUUGGUGCUGUGUGGAGCAAUUUCAGUUCAUUCUGGUGCUAAAUAUUGUUCAAAGCCCAUACUGGCAAGAAAUAUAUUUAAGGAAUUGGCAAACUUUUUCACAGUCACCACAUCCAGUUACUGCCCGAGCAGUGCUUGUAUGCCUGCACUGCACGAGAGACUGAUGGUGAUCCCAGCAAAUGGUUUUGCAAUAAGCGGAUUUUUCAGUCUUCCCUUUGCAGAAGAUGCUUUCCUGGAGUUGUAAAUGGAUGAUUCAUAAAUCUCUCCUAAUGCAGCUUCUAGAAGCGGUUCAACCGAUCUUUAAUCGUUGUUUCAAAACUGGGUCUCCAUGGGAAUCUUUCAAUCCUAUAUCCUGAAGUUUCUUUAGCCUGGGGCAGCCCAUCUGUCUUGCAGCUUAGAGCACAAAUGAAUACACUGAGUCCAUGCAUGUACUGUGCCUUAUAUCACAGGUCUCAUCCAGCACUGGUCCUCUUUGGGACUGGUAGCUGUCCUGGCAGAAUUUCUUUUUUUGCUUUAAUUUUGCCUUAUUACAUUCAGUUUCUCCAGCAUAGUGCAUCCAUGAGGCAAGUGUAGAAAAGAGAAGAGAUGCCACCUUUCUCAGCCCCGUGGAAAGCUGUGAAUGCCCGCCCUGCAAUGUCUGAUGUUGUCUGACUUGCUUCCAGGGCUGGCUAUGGAGUACAGCUAUGGAACAAUACCUACUUUUCUGUGCAAAGUAACUACAGUUCAUAGAGGAGGGAAACUGAGAAAUGAGGGAAAGGUCUCAAGGCUGCACAAAGCAGGGAGAAGACGCACUGCACCAUGUCAUGAAGGUCAGUGUGUGCCUGUUUCACUCUGGGUUUUUAUUGUGGGAGCUCUCUAUUCUCUCUUGGAAAGCAGGAAAUCUUGCUUUGGCUCCUAUGAGACCAGCUGAUGAAGCUUCAGGGUUUCUCUGCAAAAAGAAGCCCUUCCCAUGCUUCCCCUCCUGCAGGAGAGCCGGUGCUGUAGGCAUGGGCUGUGCCGCUGCCCAGCCUGUUUGUGCUGGAAAGGGACGUGGCUCAGGGUCACCUCUUCCCUCCUGAUGCAGCACUGUGAUGGCCCUGUGGACUGUGCAUGUUUGUGGUAGAUCUUUUAAUCGAAAACUUAAGCAGUUAAACUGCUUUCUUAAUGCCCUGGCGGUUGCUAAGAUACAAACUCUCAGAUUCUGUAAAUCUUCCACUUGAAAUACGCUGCACUGGCAAACGGGUCGUUCCUCUGUGACAGCCGAGGAGAUGGAGAGAUGAUGGCACUCACCAUCACACUGACUGUAACUGCUCCUGCUGCCUCCAGGUGGGACCUGGUGUGCUUUUAGUGGCUUCUGGCCACGCUGUGCGAUCCAAGGCUAAAAGGGGAAUGCAGAAUGCCAUAGCGGAGAGCAGGCAUGGAGGCAACGUGGGGGCACUUAGUGGACAUGACAGCAUGGAAACUGGGACGCACAUCUCUUAAGGGCAUGACGUACCAUAACUUGGGCUACAGUCCAAGGUGGGAAGUGAAAGCACAUCUCCAGCAGCACUGUCUGUGCAUGCGCUGCUCAUCAUGCUGAGCCA